AUGUGUAUCCCGAAAAAUGAAGGAGGCAUGGGAUUCAGAGAUCUAUACUGUUUCAAUAGAGCCAUGCUAGCAAAGCAAUGUUGGCGGUUAUUAUCUGAUCAGGAUUCGUUAUGUGCUCAAGUCCUACGAGCAAAGUAUUACCCUGAUGGGGAUUUGAUGAAUACUACUCUGAAAAAAGGUGCUUCCUUUACAUGGCAAAGUAUCAUGGCAGGUAUGAAAACCUUCAGGGAAGGGGCGAUCUGGCGGGUUGGGGAUGGUGCAUCCAUUGACAUUUGGAAGGAUCAGUGGAUUUCCACAAGCCAUGAUCGGAGGGUUAUGACCCCAAGGGGGCAUUGCUUGUUACAGAAAGUACAAGAACUGGUUGAUCCAAUAUCCGGAAGCUGGGAUGAACAAUUAGUAAGGGAAAUUUUUUGGCCAGUGGAUGCUGAAAGAAUUUUGCAGAUACCACUAUCAUCUCAUGGUCAGUCUGAUUUUAUUUCAUGGCAGUUUUCUAAGUCGGGAUGUUUCACGGUCCGGUCU
rnacentral:rRNA from 1 species